rnacentral:lncRNA from 10 species
CUUGCACAUUGUGGAAGCUUUAUUGUUUCACUCUUUGCAAUAAAUCUUGCUGCUGCUCACUCUUUGGGUCCGCAAUACCUUUAUCAGCUGUAACACUCACUGCGAAGUUCUGCAGCUUCAGUUCUGAGGCCAGUGAAACCACAAACCCACAGGGAGGAAUGAACAGCUCCUGAUGGGAGGAACAAACAACUCCAAAUGUGCCGCCUUAAGAGCUGUAACACUCACCACGAAGGUCUGCAGCUUCACUCCUGAAGCCAGCGAGACCACAAACCCACCAGAAGGAAGAAACUCCGAACACGUCUGAACGUCAGAAGGAACAAACUCCGGACACACCACCUUUAAGAACUGUAACACCGCGAGUGUCCACGGCUUCAUUCUUGAAAUCAGUAAGACCAAGAACCCACAAAUUUGGGACACAAAAGCAUAAAAAUAACUGUUAUAUGUCACAAGUGGAAGACCACUGAGACAGAGGAUCACCAGGAAACAGAGUAAGCGACCAGAAAGAACCAUGGAAGUUUGUCAAAUACAGACACGGCUGAAGUCAAGACAUACCAUGCUGUCAAUCCUGCAUCAAGCUGCUCCCCUGUUUCUCAGGCCUCCAGACUGAAGCUGAAUUAUACCACCAGCUCUCCUCAGUCUCCAGUUUGCAGACAACAGAUCAUGGGACUUCUCAGCCUCCAUAAUCACAGGAGUCAAUUCCUCAUAAUAAAUCUGUCUGCCCCCUGCUGUGUGUGUGUGUGUGUGUGUGUGUGUGUGGUGUGUGUGUGCUCUGUGUGUGUGUGUGUGUUUCAGGUGCGUCUGAUCCCAAUACCUAUGCUUUUAACCACUAUAAAUGGAGAAACAUUACAACAGGAAACCAAGAGUUGAGAAAGAAUUGUAGUGAGGAGGUGGAUAAAUGGGGAUGUUUCCCUACCUUGAACUCAAACCAGUUAGAUAGUUGCUACUUGGGAAGCUAAUCCACUUAUAUUAAAUAUAUAUAAUAUAGAUGACUAUAACAGUUUUGUCAAAAGAGCAAAACUGGGUUAUAUACACCUUUGACAAAAAUUAGCAUGAGUGUAGUUACUUCCUGAAUACAUCUUUCUUUUCAUUUAGUUGCUUGGUAAGCAGAUACUGCCCCAGCUUAUGUGUUCUCCAAACCACAGAUACACAUAUCUGGAUUUCCAGGAGGUUUCAUGAAGUGCCUCUUAAUAGAUAUGAGAUGAGAAAAACACCCACCCCAAUACACACACACACACACACACACACACACAGCCCACUAGCACCUUGGGGAAGAGGAAGAACAUAAAGCCUACCAUGUAUGAAGAAAUCUAUCUCCCACUGCCUAGCCUCUCCAACUUUAAUCCCUUUAUUGCUUUUGGAUGGGUGAGGAUGUGUGAGGAAACAAGUGGACAACACUAGUUUGGGGCUAUUUCAUUUGUAAGUCAUGUCUCAGUAUUCUGUCUCACUUUCUCAUGUGUAGGAGUAAAUAGAAUCUGUCUUCUUGGGAAUUUGCCUAAACUCAAGAUUACAAGAGGUCUGUGUUAACAUUUCUUGAACCCAAAUGUGGCACAUAUAUACCAUGGAAUACUAUGCAGCCAUAAAAAAGGGUGAGUUCAUGUCCUUUGCAGGGACAUGGAUGAAGCUGGAAACCAUCAUUCUCAGCAAACUAACACAGGAACAGAAAACCAAACACCGCAUGUUCUCACUCAUAAGUGGGAGCUUAACAAAGAGAACACAUGGACACAGGGAGGGGAAUAUCACACAUCAGGGCCUGUCAGGCGGUGAGGGGUUAGGGGAAGGAUAGCAUUAGGUUAAAUACCUAAUACAGAUGACAGGUUGAUAGGUGCAGCAAACCACCAUGGCGUGUGUAUACCUAUGUAACAAACCUGCACAUUCUACACAUGUAUCCCAGAACUUAAAGUAUAUUUAAAACAAAACAAAACAAAACAAAAAAAUAACAUGAAAUUGGAUCUCACCAAAGAAAAAAAAAAGAAAUGCAAAGUCAAGGGCCCCAUUCAAGACCUACUGAAUCAAAAAUUAAAAGUGGAGCCCAUUAAUCUCUGUUUUAAGAAGCCCUCCAGGAGAUUCUGAAACAAGCUAAAGUUUGUCACUAUUUUACAGCAUAUAAUAGAUUUUUAAUUGCAUUAUUCAAAAUCCUUUACUCUUUCUCU